rnacentral:rRNA from 1 species
AGAGCGAACGCUGGCGGCAGGCCUAACACAUGCAAGUCGAGCGCGUGUAGCAAUACACGAGCGGCAGACGGGAGAGUAACACGUGGGAACGCGCCCUUCGGUUCGGAAUAACUCAGGGAAACUUGAGCUAAUACCGGAUACGCCCUUACGGGGAAAGAUUUAUUGCCGAAGGAACGGCCCGCGUCCGAUUAGCUAGUUGGUGAGGUAACGGCUCACCAAGGCGACGAUCGGUAGCUGGUCUGAGAGGAUGACCAGCCUCACUGGGACUGAGACACGGCCCAGACUCCUACGGGAGGCAGCAGUGGGGAAUAUUGGACAAUGGGGGCAACCCUGAUCCAGCAAUGCCGCGUGGAUGAUGAAGGCCUUCGGGUUGUAAAGUCCGUUUCGGCGGGGAAGAUGAUGACGGUACCCGCAGAAGACGCCCGGCUAACUCGUGCCAGCAGCCGC